UCCAGUAUUGUAGGGGCUUUCUCGAAUGGAGACUCUUGCCAGGGAUCAUAAUGAGAUCAUCUUGCUCUUUAGAUCACGGAACUUACAGUUGAAAAGCCCAGUUAAAAAUAACUGGCUCAUACCGUGAGCCCUGACAUUAUAUAUAUAUAUUUUAACAGGAGAAUAAGAUAAUUGGACUGUCUCAGAUGUUGGUCUUCUCUGGCUAACUUGUGACUGAUGGCCAACAAAAAGACAAUCUUUACAGAGAAGCAGCGUGGAAUAGUGAAUAGAGCACAGGCCUGGAGUCAGAAGUGACCAGGAUUGAGGAUGGAGCUAUCCAUGGUUGAAAUUUUUAAAAAUGAUGCAGAAAUGGCAUGUGCGGAUGCAGCUAUCCAGGAACCAACUAUUCCUCAGCAUGUGGAAGACUGAAGAAAUGCCUCUGAACACCAAAAUUUGAAGAUGUCACCAUAAUCGGCGAUUUUGAGAUUUACAGAUUUUAAGAUCUUUGAAGAGCUGCUAUUGUACCUCCUCAAGCAUCUAGAAGGCACACACAACAGACGUUUAAUAAAUGAUGAUUUGAUGA